GCCUUACACAUGCAAGUCGAACGGCAGCACGGGAGCAAUCCUAGUGGCGAGUGGCGAACGGGUGAGUAAUAUAUCGGAACGUGCCCGGUCGUGGGGGAUAACGUAGCGAAAGCUACGCUAAUACCGCAUACGAUCUACGGAUGAAAGCGGGGGAUCGCAAGACCUCGCGCGAUUGGAGCGGCCGAUAUCAGAUUAGGUAGUUGGUGGGGUAAAGGCCUACCAAGGCGACGAUCCAUAGCUGGUCUGAGAGGAUGAUCAGCCACACUGGGACUGAGACACGGCCCAGACUCCUACGGGAGGCAGCAGUGGGGAAUUUUGGACAAUGGGCGCAAGCCUGAUCCAGCAAUGCCGCGUGCAGGAUGAAGGCCUUCGGGUUGUAAACUGCUUUUGUACGGAACGAAACGGUGAGCUCUAAUACAGUUUGCUAAUGACGGUACCGUAAGAAUAAGCACCGGCUAACUACGUG
rnacentral:rRNA from 1 species